GCUAGGCACAGUGGCUCAUGCCUGAAAUCCCAGCAGUUUGGGAGGCUGAGACAGGAGGAUCGCAAGUUCAAAGCCAGCUUCAGCACUUAGUUGAUGACCUAUGCAACUUAGCGAGAUUCUGUCUCAA
rnacentral:sRNA from 1 species